GUCUUCAUGGUGUAGUAGUCAGCACACUUGAUUCGUAAGAGAAGUCCGUGGUUCAAUUCCCGGUGAAGGCG
rnacentral:tRNA from 1 species